rnacentral:rRNA from 1 species
GGCAGGUCAGCAUACUGCCGUGAAUACGUUCCCGGGCCUUGUACACACCGCCCGUCACACCAUGAGAGUUGGGGAUACCCGAAGCCUGUGAGCUAACAGUAAUGGAGCAGCAGUCGAAGGUAGAAUCAAUGAUUGGGGUGAAGUCGUAACAAGGUACC